UACGUAGGGUGCAAGCGUUGUCCGGAAUUAUUGGGCGUAAAGAGCUCGUAGGCGGUUUGUUGCGUCGGCUGUGAAAUCCCGAGGCUCAACCUCGGGUCUGCAGUCGAUACGAGCAAACUAGAGUGUUGCAGGGGAGACUGGAAUUCCUGGUGUAGCGGUGAAAUGCGCAGAUAUCAGGAGGAACACCGGUGGCGAAGGCGGGGUCUCUGGGCAACAACUGACGCUGGAGGAAGCGAAAAGCGUGGGGGAGCGAACAGG
rnacentral:rRNA from 1 species